GUGUUUGUUUUGGCAGCACAGGCACUAAAAUUGGAGCCAUACAGAGAUUAACAUGCCCCUGUGCAAGGAUGACAUGCAAGUUUAUGAAGCAUUUCAUAUUUAU